AUUCAAAGGCAGCACCCAAACUAUUUAUGGAUACUAUUACUAUUCCGAAUAAUAAUAGUGAUGAGGAUGAAACUAGUAUUGACA
rnacentral:sRNA from 1 species